ACCUGGAGUGAGAUGAGUGGUGAUGAUUCUUUCUCUAGAGUGUGAAUCCUGAUGGUACAUCAGGUACAUCCUGACAUAUGACUUGUACUGCUAGGAAAGGACACAGGAGAGAAGAGAGUCCUCUGCUUCAGCUGAAAUUAUUACAAGGGGCUGGAAAGAAGUAUUAUUUGUAGAAAGUAUGCAAGGAUCAGCAGUAAAUGAAUUUGAAGCAAAGGUGAAGCAAACUUUCAAGAAACACCAUGAAACUGCAAACUGGUGAUUACACUACACAUGAAGGUUUUUGUGGUUGUGAAUAUGCAUUUGAAUCUACAGAAUGGAUACCAAAUCAGUCCACUUGCUACUGAAACAUACAAGAUUAGAACAACU